GUGGUCACGUCAGCAGCACAUAUACUAAAAUUGGAACAAUACAGAGAAGAUUAGUGUGGCCCCUGUGCAAGGAUGAAAUACAAAUUUGUGAAGUGUUCCAUAUUUUA
rnacentral:snRNA from 1 species